rnacentral:rRNA from 1 species
GAUGAACGCUAGCGACAGGCUUAACACAUGCAAGUCGAGGGGCAGCGGGGGUGAUGGCUUGCCAUCACCUGCCGGCGACCGGCGCACGGGUGAGUAACACGUAUGCAACCUGCCCGCCACAGGGGGAUAAGCGGAAGAAAUUCCGUCUAAUACCGCGUGACGCGGCGCCGGGGCAUCCCGGUGCCGCCAAAGGGAUUACCGGUGGCGGAUGGGCAUGCGGCGCAGUAGCUAGUCGGCGGGGUAACGGCCCACCGAGGCGACGAUGCGUAGGGGUUCUGAGAGGAAGGUCCCCCACACUGGUACUGAGACACGGUCCAA